UGCGAGGUAACUUCAGCCUGGUAGAAUGAGAGGCUCAUAACCUCUUACGCGCACGUUCAAAUCGUGUCCUCGCUU
rnacentral:tRNA from 1 species